rnacentral:rRNA from 1 species
UACGUAGGGUGCGAGCGUUGUCCGAAGAUUAUUGGGCGUAAAGGGCUCGUAGGCGGUUUGUCGCGUCGGGAGUGAAAACACACAGCUUAACUGUGUGCUUGCUUCCGAUACGGGCAGACUAGAGGUAUGCAGGGGAGAACGGAAUUCCUGGUGUAGCGGUGAAAUGCGCAGAUAUCAGGAGGAACACCGGUGGCGAAGGCGGUUCUCUGGGCAUUACCUGACGCUGAGGAGCGAAAGUGUGGGGAGCGAACAGG